rnacentral:lncRNA from 1 species
GGCAUGGACAAAUCUUCAGUACCCUGCCCACGUUAGAUGUUUUAGAGCAUCCAUUUAUCCAUGUUGGUUUUAGAUUUCUGCCCAAGGAAGCCUAAAGUCAACAUUACUGUGAUCAAAUGGAGCUCACAUUUCUCCUGCCUGGAAAUACCUAUAAUUCCUUAAAACAAUGUUUCAAUUUACCACAAGUCUGGUGGCAUUUCAAAGUGUAAUAAAAAACCCACCAUCCUUUUCCUGCCUCCCACUCUUGGUGUUCUGGAGAAGACUGCGGAACACACACGGACUUUUAAUCAAGGGGAGACGGCUCUUCCUCUGUUUUGUGUACCUUUGUCUUUCCUGGAGUAGAGUGCUGUGAUAAACCUACAGAUGCCGGUGACUCAGGCUGGGUCAUGGGAAGAAGUGGGCGAGUCGGAGCCAGAUGAAUUUGUGGUGUGCUUUCCUAUCCAGCUGACAUGUUGCAGAGGUUAAGUAUGGUGGAGUUUUAGGCCAAUUUGGAGCCAUUCAUUUACUCAGUGAGCUUCAUCAACCCAUCCCUCACCCACCAUGUGCCUGCAUUUGCACUGGUGUUUGGCAGGUACAUCUCGACCUGUUAAAAUAUUGAACUACUUUCACACUGGUUGUCAAGUAACCACUGCCUGGAUACCUUCCAACCUCCCCAAGGGCUUGUGUCCAUUCUAAUUGGUUAGUUUCUGUUAUUACACUGAUUGCUGAAUAGUUGACACCCCAGAUUAUGGAACAAUUAAAACAAAUCCUCUCCCAACAAGGGGGUGGCAGAUGCCAUGCCUUCCUUUCCCUGGAAAAUUCCCCAUGACUCUUUCAGGAUGCAAGGAGGCCCCAACUGCUAUUUUUGUUUAGGUGAUUGAGAAAACCAAGUGUGGAGAAGAAACUCCGUUGACGUGAUAAAAAGAGCAGAAUUAAUAUUUGCUAUCUCUUUUUCUGGUGCCAAGAAAGUUACUGGAAUAAUUCAACCAGAUAAAAUAAGUAGAUAUGUGACUUUAAAAAGAUGAAGUUUGUACAAUGAGGCAGAUGCCAUCUGGCCCAGGAGGAAUUUAGUGAUGGCGGCAUCAUUCUCAUUAAUGUCAGAACUGCCCGGGGUUGUUGUCUAUUUGUACAGUCUAGGGAGAUGUUGAAGGCAAAAUUCAGAAAGCAAUUCUAAUUCUGAGGUUUUCAAUCCUGAACCCACAGUUGAUCACCAUAGGCAUGCCCAUACUGGAAACCUCGCAUUAGUUUCUGUAUUUUUUUCCUGGUGAUAUGUGAUCAAUACAAAGUAUUUGAAUACCUGAUGUUACAUACUUUCCCCCAUCUCAGCCACCACUAACCCUUCCCCUCAUCCUCCUCAAGGGAACCUUCAUUAAUGAUUUCAUGUGCUCCUUUUCUGGCCUUUCUAAUGCCUAUAUAUCAACCUAUAUUUUAAUGCUUAACAUAUAGUGUCUAUAAUCUGCUUCUUUUCACUUACUGUAUGGCAGACAACUUCUGUAGCAGAUGAUAUGGUGUGCUCUCAGAUGCUGCUUCAGAGUGAAGGCACUCAUUCCCCGGCUGUCAGGAAGCUGACUGGUGAUGGGUCACAGAUUAAUAGUUUCCUUUGUAUUUCUUUUCCUCCUGGAUCAACCCUGUUCAACAGAAGUAUAUCAAGGCCACAUUUGUGAUUUAAACUUUUCUAGCAGCCAUGAAGGCAUGACUCAUUGGGGAUCAUCUUAGAAUCCUGCUUACCACACACGUUAAAAAAGGUUUAAAGAAGCAAAAUUAGUUUUAAAAAAAUGCGUUGUUAUUAUUUUAUAGAGACAGGGUCUCACUAUGUUUCCUAGGCUGGUCUCAAACUCCUGGGCUCAAGCAAUCCUCCUGCCUCAGCUUCCCAAAGUGCUGAGAUACAGUGUGAGCUACUGCAUCAGGCUCCAGAUUAAUUUUAACAAUACAUUUUACUGGAUCUAAUAUAACCAGAAUAUUAUCAUUUCAAAAUAUAUUUGGAGUAAAAAUGAUUAUGGAUAUAUAUAUAGAGAGAGUGUAUUUUGAAAGCCAGUGUGUGUUUUAUACUUAGAGCACGUCUCAGUUCGCACCAGCCACAUUUCAAGGGUUUGACAGCCACGUGUACUAGUAGUGGCUGCUGCACUACACGGUGCACUUCUAGAGGGUUCAAAGUUUCCAUUAAAAUUGUAUUCUAGGACACCAGCCAAAAUGGCAAAUAAGGAUCUCCGAAAAUUCCCUCCUCCAUAAAAGCAACAAGAACAUUAUCAAAAAAUGUCAGAAUCAACGUUUUCAGAACUUUGGAAAUUAACCAAAGGCUUGCAGCAAUCUGGGAAACAUUUAUUUAAGAAAACAGCAGAAUCUUGGAAAUAUCCAAGAAGACCCUGGCUCUCACCUCUGGCCAACCUUGAGCCUCUGCUGAAGCAGGAAGUGAAGGCUAAGAUGGAGCUGUAAGGUGCUUGGCUGAAUGCUGAAGGAAACACACGCAGAACUUCUUGGUAAAGACUGAGAGUCUUAUUGGUUCCAGUCAUCUAAGGAAGUCUUUGUUGAAUCAUUAAAUGACCACUAAGCUAACUGGUCGAGACUCACUGGCCACACAAAACAAAGAAUAUACCUUUAUAGAAUUAGUUCAGGAAAGUCACCAACCAUCCAACCAAACAAUACCAAUUAAAUAGUAACAACAACAAACCCAGGGCAAAAUCUGAUUUCCAGAGUUGCUAUGUUAUAUUGUUUUAAAAGUCUAGUUUUUACCAAAAAUUAUGAAACACGCCAAGAAACAAGAGAGUCUGUCUCAUAUGCAGGGAAAAAGACACUCAAUAGAAACUGUCCCCAAGAGGGCACAGACACUGGAUUUUCUAUACAAAGACUUAAAUCAACUAUGUUAAAUAUGUUUUAAAAACCCUAAAAAACUAAAGGAAACCGUGGCUAUACAGGGAAAAAUGUCUCAUAUACAGAAACUCCUAAGGAAUCCACAAAACACAAGAUCAAUAUACAAAAAUCAAUUUUGUUUCCGUAAGCUAGCAGUGAACAACACAAAAAUGAAAUUAAGAAAAACAAUUCCACUUAGUAUCCAAAAAUGUUUAGGAAUAAAUUUAAUGAAAGAAGUGUAAGACUUUUAACUGAAAACUCUCAAACAUUGGUGAAAGAAAUUAAAGAAGACCUACAUAAAUGGAAAGACAUUCCUGUGUUCAUGGACUGGAAAAUGGCAAUUUUCUCCAAAUUGAAAUCACUAUAAAAAUUCCAGAUGCUGGGCUUUUUUUUUGUUUUGUUUUGUUUUAGAAAUUGAGAAGCUGAUUCUAAAAUUCAUAUAUAAAUUCAAGGGAUCCACAAUAGCUAAAACAAUCCUGAAAAAGAAUAACAAAAUUGGAGGACUCACAUUUCCCAGUUUCAAAACAUAAGCUACAGUAAUCAAGACUGUGUGGUUCUGACCUAAGGAUAGACAUAGACAAUGGAAUAGAAUUAAAAGUCCAGAAAUAAACCCAUAUAUUUAUAGUCAAUUGAUUUUCAACAAUAGUGCCAGGACAUUCAAUGGGGGGAAAAUAGUCUUUUCAACAACUGGUGCUGAGAUAACUGGAUAUCCACAUGCACAAAAGAAGAAAUUGGAUCCCUUACCUUACACCAUAUACAAAAUUUAACUCAAAAUGGAUCAAAGACUUUGCUGUAAGACUCUUAGGAGAGAGCAUAGAUGUAAAUAAUCAUUACCUUUAAUUAAGCAAGUUUCUUGGCUAUGACACUAAAAGCAUAAGCAAUCAAAGAAAAAAUAGAUAAAUUGGACUUCAUCAAAAUUUUAAAAAUCUGUGCUUCAAAGUACACGAUCAAGAAAGGAAAAAGACAAGUCACAGAGUGGGAGGAAAUAUUGUUGAAUCACAUGUCUGAUAAGGGUCUAGUAUCCAGAAUAUAUUGUUGGGGCUCAGAAAACAUUACCCCCAAAUAGGACACUUUGACAUGAAGCAACCUCGAGGUCUCUCUGACCUCCCUGGUCCCUGCACCCGACUAUUCCUCUGUCUCUCUCAAAGCACAGAAUGUAGUUGUUCACUGAAAUUCCCUUAUCUACCUAGACACUGAACCUACUAAAGAGAAACACAAUUGCCUUCCCUGAAAUUUAACUAGAGAAGAAUAAACUCAUAACACAGAGGAAGAGAUUGAAAAUUAAACACCAGACAAACUUUGUCCCAAACCACUGUCUUCUCUCUGUCCCAUUCAAUUUCCAAAGAAAACUAUUUACUAACCAUUGUCUGAGCAUUAGACCCAUUCAUUUCCCCUAAAAAUCAUUUACUAUCCCUCAAAUCAGCCACAUUUCCCCAUGUUCUUUUUCCCUAUGAAGAAGAAUAUAUAAGCAUGUGUAUCCCUUUGGGUUACUGGGUAAUUAUUCUCCUGCAAUUCCAAUGUGAUGUGUUAAAAUAAAUCUGUAUGCUUUUUUCUUCUAUUAAUCUGCCUUUGUCAGUUUAUUUUCAGCAAACCUUCAGAGGGUGAUGGGGGAAGAGUUCUCUUCUUCCCCCUAUAAUAUAAAGGACUAUUACAACUCAACAAUUAAAAGACAACCCAGAUUAAAAGUGGGCACUAUAGUCGAAUACAUAUUUUUCCAGUAAAGAUAUACAAAUGGCUAAUGAGCACAUGAAUAGAUGCUCCAUAUCAUUAGUCACAGGGAACUGGAAGUUAAAACCACAGUGAGAUAUCAUGUCACAUUCACUAGAAUGACUAUUAUCAAAGACAGUCAAUAACAAGUGUUGCCAAUAUGGAGAAGCUGAACCCUCCAUACAUUACUGGUAGGAAUAGAAAACUGUGAAGCUGCUUUGGGAAAGAGUUUGACAGUUCCUCAAAAAGUUAAACAUAGAGUUUUCAUGUGACUCAGUUGUUCCACUCCUAGGUACAUACUCAAAAGAAAUGACAUUUGCCCACAAGAAACCUUGUAUGUGAAUGUUCAUAGCAGCAUUAUUCAUAAUAGCUAGAAAAUAAAAACAAUCCAAAUGUCCAUCAACUAGUGAACAGAUAAACAAAAGGUGGUGUACCUAUCUAAUGGAAUACUUUUCAGCCAUAAAAAGGAAUGAAAUACUGAUUCAUGAUACAACAGGAAUGCACCUUAAAAACACUGUGCUAAAUUAAAGAAGCCAGACAUCAACAGCCACAUACUGUAUGAUUCCAUUUACAGUAGCCCCCCCUUUUCUGCAUUCCAAGAUCCCCACUGGAUGCCUGGAACUACAGAUAGUACCCAACCCUAUGUAUACGAUGUUUUUCAAUCUGAUAACCAAGAUGGCUACUAAGUGACUAACAAGCAGGUAGUGUAUGCAGUAUGGAUAUGCUGGACCAAGGAUGAUUCACAUCCCAGGUGGGACAGCACAAAAUUUCAUCAUGCUACUCAGAAUGGCGUGCAAUGUAAAGCAUAUGAAUUCUUUACUUCUGGAAUUUUCUACUUAAUAUUUUCUGAUCAUGAUUGACCAUGGGUAACUGAAACUACAGAAAAUGGAAAGUGCGGAUAACGGGAACUAUUGUAUAUAAAAUGUCUAGAAGAGGCAAAUCCAUAGAUACAGAAAGAUUUGUGGCUGCCAGGACCUGGGCGUGGGG